rnacentral:rRNA from 1 species
CCUACGGUGGGCAGCAGUGGUGAAUAUUGGGCAAUGGGCGCAAGCCUGACCCAGCAACGCCGCGUGAAGGAAGAAGGCCCUCGGGUUGUAAACUUCUUUUGUCAGGGACGAAGAAAAUGACGGUACCUGACGAAUAAGCCACGGCUAACUACGUGCCAGCAGCCGCGGUAAUACGUAGGUGGCAAGCGUUAUCCGGAUUUACGGGGUGUAAAGGGCGGGUAGGCUGGAUUGCAGGUCAGAUGUGAAAUUCCAGGGCUCAACCCUGGACCUGCAUUUGAAACUGUAGUUCUUGAGUGAUGGAGAGGCAGGCGUAAUUCCGUGUGUAGCGGUGAAAGGCGUAGAUAUACGGAGGAACACCAGUGGCGAAGGCGGCCUGCUGGACAUUAACUGACGCUGAGGCGCGAAAGCGUGGGGAGCAAACAGGAUUAGAUACCCGGGUAGUC